UCAACCUCAAAUUGAUCUUUUCAUAGUAGAUCCUUCUUCUCCAAGUAGGAUCUCAGCCCUUUAGAACUUUGAUCAACUCUUUGAUCAAGAUUGUGGAAUCAACUCUUUGAUCUGCAGCCUUUUUUCUUUGUUCCUCGCUGUAAAUAAAUAACUCCUCAACGCUUGGCAUGUAAAAAGGUCGGAUGCCCAACCUUUGGGCAUGGGAAAGAGAAGAGGGAGAGGGUG
rnacentral:lncRNA from 1 species